rnacentral:miRNA from 1 species
AAUUAUUUCAAAAGUUAUAGCAUCAGGGAUGCAACCUUUCUCUUCCAUUUUUGACUGCAAGGCCAAUGCUUCAUCAAACAACCCCACUUUACAGAGUCCAUUGAUCAUAACAUUA